rnacentral:ncRNA from 2 species
AUCUAUCUUCGGGGCAGGGUGCAAUUCCCGACCGGCGGUAAUGAAACAAAUGUUUCUAGCCCGCGAGCCGUUUGCAGUUUGGCAGGAUCUGGUGUGAUUCCAGAGCCGACAGUAUAGUCUGGAUGGGAGAAGAUGGAG